UCUACAAAACUGAUGUAAAUAAAACUGUUGUAUCUGCAGAACCCAAAACUUCACUUUUUUUGUUGUAUACUUUUUUCGCAUUUGGAGUUGAUUACUGUUGUCUUUCCUGCUGUCGUGUUUUAUACUAUGGGCUGAUGUAAAUUGAUAAAAUAGGACGGAUUCUAUAGUUUAUAGAAAAGCCGAAGGGAUCUGAUAUGAAAAAAUUGGUAUGUUAAUGGUAAAAUCAGCUAAGAAGUGAAUUUUUUUAAGGUUCCUCCUCUAAAUGAUGGAAACUCAGCUUACUUUGUCCAGUCAAAUGCAGUUGAAAAUGAAUCAUAUCAAAACUCACCAAAGAACUCUAGCAGACAG